UAUGAUGCAGUUGGACACGAAUC
rnacentral:siRNA from 1 species